CUAUUUCCUAACAUUUCAAACCUUUCAGACUACGGAAGCAAAGAUGGCAGAAGCUCUUUUGGGUGCUGUUGUGAACGAAGCCGUGGCGAAAGUAAUGUCAAUUGCCGCUGACCAAAUCAUCCUUGCAUGGGGUUUCAAGAAACAGCUGAAAAAACUCGGUGAGACACUAGGAAUGAUCGAAGCUUUCUUGCAAGAUGCAGAGGAAAAGGAAAUAAAGAAUACCUCAGUGAAGUUAUGGUUAGAGAGGCUCGAAGAUGUUGCUUAUGAGGCUGUUGAUGUCCUUGAUGAGUUUGCUUAUGAAAUUCUCCGAAGGAAAGUGGAGAUUCGGAACCAAAUUCUGAGGAAGGUACUCGACUUUCUGUUGGUGUUAGACACACUUUAACCGAAUGAAGUAACAACUUCAAUCUGAACUUUAACAGCAGUGUAUUAUACCCGGAUAAAAUAUGAAGGAAAAAUGCUUGAAGUUCACGCUUUUAGCUACUGUCAAGAAUGGAGAACAGAAUUUUGAAGGCAAAGAAAGAUGG
rnacentral:lncRNA from 1 species